rnacentral:rRNA from 1 species
AUUGAACGCUGGCGGCAUGCUUUACACAUGCAAGUCGAGCGGCAGCGCGGGGGCAACCCUGGCGGCGAGCGGCGGACGGGUGAGUAAUGCAUCGGAACGUAUCCCGUAGUGGGGGACAACCCAGCGAAAGCUGGGCUAAUACCGCAUAUGCUCUACGGAGGAAAGCAGGGGACUCGCAAGAGCCUUGUGCUAUGGGAGCGGCCGAUGUCCGAUUAGCUAGUUGGUGGGUAAAGGCUUACCAAGGCGACGAUCGGUAGCUGGUCUGAGAGGAUGAUCAGCCACACUGGGACUGAGACACGGCCCAGACUCCUACGGGAGGCAGCAGUGGGGAAUUUUGGACAAUGGGGGCAACCCUGAUCCAGCCAUGCCGCGUGCGGGAAGAAGGGCC